rnacentral:lncRNA from 1 species
CAAGCCUGUUCCUUUUAAGCUAGUUCCUUUGAAGUUCUCCCCUGUGUUUUCCCAUAGCACCUCAGCCUGCUGAGACAUCACAGUCAAAGAGUUGAGCAGUGCCAAGAAUACAUGCAUGUGGAACAUCAACCUGCGUUUGUGGCUUUGACAUAUGAUCCUACUGUUUCUGUCACUAAUCACCCCAGUAAGAGAAGCCUAACCAACACACCAGACCUGUCACUCAACCACCUACUCUCACUGCCCCUCGUCCUCCUCUCUCUCCUCCUCCCUCAGUAUCAUCAGUCCCUCUAUGCAUCAACACCUGCAGAGGAAGCAUAUUGCCCCUGUUCCUCCAAGAAGCACACCACAGGAUCUAGAGAUUCCACAACUCCCCCAUAUGGUGGCUGUCCAGCACCAAAACCAAUAUUCUAACUCCAUACUUACCAUACCCGCAUGCCAAGAGAGAGGCCCACCGGCACCUCAGUCCACUGAUUGGUUUUGAAGGCCACGGUUUUCAAGGGAAGGUCUAUGGUCCAUCAGCUGAGCACAACCCCCACUCCAGUGAAUGGCUGUCGAUGAGGCCUCUGGUCCAGUGUAAUGACAACCUCAUGAUGCUCACUGCAUCUGGACGAGGAUACACACAUCUACUGGUGGAUAGAGCGGGCGCCUCUCCCAUCUCCCUGUUCCAGCUGCCGCCGUCCUGUGGUUACCAUGUGAAGACUACCUG